GUUGAAGGGUGUAUAGAUGUUCAACACUCUUAGCUUGCCAAGUAACAUAGAAAGUUGCACAAAACUCAGUUCCUUUGUAAGCAAAUCGGCUUAUUGAUCUUUAGUAUUUAGAUACUUUUUCUCCCACAUCCCAUGCUUGAUCUUCUCCCUAAUGAAGUUAUAAUCGUUCUCUAUAUGCUUUUGUUCUUUCAUGGAAGAUGAGAAUGACAGCAAUCAGCAUUGUUGCCUUGCAAUUACAACAAAGAGUCAUAGAUUUCUAGAUUGCAACUCCUAGUUCACUGAAAAGGCCAAUCAACCAAACAAUCUCAGCUACUGUCGAGGUCAUAUUCCUGUACUCUACCUCUACACUGCUUAUUGUAAAUUGUGUGUUGCUUCUUGGACUUCUAGGAUAUCAAGGAAUAUCCAAGCUUCACAAUAUAGACACUAACAUAUCUUCUUGUGACUGGACAUGCUGCCUAGUUUGAGUCGCAAGAUGCAGUCAAAGUAUCUGCAACUUCCUUUCAGCAGAAUUCUUAUUCCAUGACUCAUUAUUCAAAUAUCUUACCACUCUUGUUGCCUUGUCCAUAUGUGAUUAUUUUGGAGCUUGCAUAAAUUGGCUCAAGCUUUGAACAACAUAGAUAAUUUUGGGCCCUGUAACUAUUACGUACAAUAAUUUUGCAAUCAAUUUCUUCGAGCUAAUAGUAUUAACUAGGUGGUCAUCAUCUCCAACCCCAACUACUUUGUCAUAUUCCAGUAUAGUCAGCUUGUGGUUGAGUUCAAGAGGUGUAACUGCAGUCUUAGCAGCACUCAAUCCCAUUUCAGGAAUAAAUUUAAGUGCAUAUUUUCUCUGAUUGAGUAUAAUCCUUUUCUUGUAUCUCAGCACUUCAAUCCCUAAAAAGUAUAUUAAUUCUCCCAAAUCUUUAAACUUUGAAUUCUUGAUUCAGCAUACCAUUGGCUUCAUCAAUCAGGUUUUUGUUUCUACCUAUAAAUAAUAGAUCAUCCACAUAGAUCAACAUGAAGUAAUCAUAAGAACUUCGGCAAAAGUCAGUCUUUGCCAAGGUUUUAGUCAAUUUUAGAUUCCGCUGCCUUGAUGUCUGUUUGAGUCCAUAUAAGGACUUAAGUAAUUUGUAAACCUUCUUAUGCUUUCCCUGUCCUCGAAAAUCUUGAGGCACGUCCAUGUAAACCUCCUCAUAUAAGUCUCCAUGCAAGAAAGUAUUGAAUACAUCCAUUUGAUACAAACUCCAAUCCUCAGAAGCUGCUAAAGCUAUAACAGAUUUUACUAUUACCAUCUUUGCCAUUGGAGAAAAUAUUUUAUAGUAGUCUAACCUUGCCUGUAGGUUUCAUCCUUUAGCAACCAACCUAGCAUUAAAUAUUUCAACCCUCCUAUUUGUUUUGUACUUAAUUUUACAGACCAUUUGGAUCCUAUAGCAGUCUUCCCAACUGGUAAGUUCACUACUUCCCAGGUGUUAUUAUCUUCUAAGGCCAAAACCUCCUCUUGUAUAACUUCAAUCUACCUUUUAUCUUUUACUUCUUCCCUGAAGGUUUAAGGCCUUUCAUAUUGAAAUAGCAUGCAAGUAAUUUCUAUAUUUCUCUAUCACAUGUUCAUAAGACAAGAAAUAUAAAUAGGAUAUGAACUCUAAGAGGUUUUGGGAGGAUUCAACACAUAGUCUUGCGUCUGAAUUAGAGGUUUUUUUGUGGCAUGUCUGUUGGUAAACACCGGCGAGUUAUUCUUCUAGAAUAGGUAACUUUGACUCUAUGAUAUCUAGAGAUUCUGCUGGAACUGUACUCCCUGUAUCAUCACCCUGUUAGAUGUUUACCUUAUUUUAAAUUGUUAUCAUGUUUUUCUUUAACAAAUUUUAUAUUUAAUUUGUUAAUUUAACUGAUAUUUUGCUUUGUUUAAAAAUGAUACUUUUACUCAGUUUUAUUUAUUUCUAAACUAAACCCAUCGGAUACUCUGUUUUGUAUAAAUUGUAUAUUAUUUUACUUUAUUAUUUUUAAAAUAAACUCAUUAUAUUAUUUGACACCUUACUUUAUUCAAGAUUGUUAUUAUGUUUUAAUGUGUUUAAAUAUAUCUCUCGUUCAUCUAAAUUGAUAUUUGUCAGGGUUGCAAAGUACAUGGUAGCACGUGGGCUUUACUGUGCGACGAUGACUAUUAUUGUGGGCACGAGGUGCCAUAUGUGUAAGAAUUGAAAAUUAUGGUUCAUGACUUGUGAUUUAUGAGGUGUGGUGCCUCGGGGUAAUUCUUGUUGUAUGUUCAUGCAAUGGGAGCGAUUUGAUUAUUCGAGUUGUCAUCCAUUUUUCCUUACUUGAGUUUAUUUAUAUCUCAUCGGUGUUCUGAUUAUGUUGUUUCUUUAUUACUCAUUUACUACUUGUUUAUCAUUUAUGUUUCAAUUAUUUCAUUGUUGGUUCUAAAUCGAUUAUCUUUUCCUUGUUGGUCUUACAUUGAAUUUCUUUCCAUUGUUAGUUUAUGUAUAUCUUGAACAUGUUUCUAUGUCUAGCAGGUAUCCUGACUUGGCCUCGUCACUACUCUAUCGAGGUUAGGCUUGAUACUUACUAGGUACUAUUGUGGUGUACUCAUGCGACGCUUCUGCAUAUUUUAUGCAAAUCUAGGUAUUCUGAUCGUGUUGUUGAGAGUUGCUUCUGCGCAGCGGGAGACUUCAAGGUAUAUAUUAAGUGAGUAUCUCUAACUUAAAACCUCUUCACUACUUUACCGAAGUUAGCCAAGAUAUUUACUGAGUACAUGAGAUCGGUUAUCCUCAUACUACACUUCUGCAUCUUGCAUGCGGAUCUUGGAGUUGCGUAGCUGUGGAAGACGAAGCCCGGCAUUGAAGACGUACCUGCGUUCCAGAUUCAAGCUGCCUCUUGUUCAUGGUAGUUUAGGACCUAAAUUCUGUUUAUGUAUAUUUCAACCAAAUAUUGUAUUUAUCCUUCAUAUCGACUUUGUAAGUCCUAAUCAUUGUGGCUCAUGACUUGUACUACCAGUCCUUGAGGUAGUUAUAUUAUAUUCGGUUGUAGUUUCUAUUAUAUAUAUUACAAUUUAAUUGUAACUUA